rnacentral:rRNA from 1 species
AUUGAACGCCGGCGGCAGGCCUAACGCAUGCAAGCCGGGCGAGCGGCUGACGGGUGAGUAAUGUAUGGGGAUCUGCCGGAUGGAGGGGGAUAACUACUGGAAACGGUAGCUAAUACCGCAUACCAUCAGAUGAACCCAUAUGGGAUUAGCUUGUAGGUGAGGUAACGGCUAACCUAGGCGACGAUCCCUAGCUGGUUUGAGAGGAUGAUCCGCCACACUGGGCCUGGGAAACGGCCCGGACUCCUACGGGAGGCAGCAGGGGGGAAUAUUGCGCAUUGGGCGCAGGCGUGAUGCGGCCGUGCCGCGUGUAAGAGGUAGGCUUUCGUGUUGUAAAGUAGUUUCAGGCGUGAGGCGUUACCGACAGACGAAGCACCGGCUAACUCCGUGCCAGCAGCCGCGGUAAUAC